CCUACGGGUGACUGCAGUGGGGAAUAUUGCACAAUGGGGGGAACCCUGAUGCAGCGACGCCGCGUGAGUGAAGAAGUAGUUCGGUAUGUAAAGCUCUAUCAGCAGGGAAGAAGAUGACGGUACCUGACUAAGAAGCCCCGGCUAACUACGUGCCAGCAGCCGCGGGAAUACGUAGGGGGCAAGCGUUAUCCGGAUUUACUGGGUGUAAAGGGAACGAAGACGGCAGGGCAAGUCUGAAGUGAAAGCCCGGGGCCCAACCCCGGGAUUGCUUUGGACACUGCUAUGCGGGAGUGCUGGAGAGGUAAGCGGAAUUCCAAGUGUAGCGGUGAAAUGCGUAGAUAUUAGGAGGAACACCAGUGGCGAAGGCGGCUUACUGGACAGUAACUGACGUUGAGGCUCGAAAGCGUGGGGAGCAAACAGGAUUAGAUACCCUUGUAGUC
rnacentral:rRNA from 1 species